rnacentral:tRNA from 1 species
GGCGAGAUGGCCGAGUGGUCUAAGGCGCUAGUUUCAGGAGGUGGUUCUUCGGAAUCAACAUCCAUUACUAGUCAGAAAUGGCGAGGGUUCGAAUCCCUCUCUCGUCA